rnacentral:rRNA from 1 species
UAGGGAAUCUUCCGCAAUGGACGAAAGUCUGACGGAGCAACGCCGCGUGAGUGAAGAAGGAUUUCGGUUCGUAAAACUCUGUUGUUAGGGAAGAAAAAAUGUAUAGUAACUAUAUACAAAAGAGACGGUACCUAACCAGAAAGCCACGGCUAACUACGUGCCAGCAGCCGCGGUAAUACGUAGGUGGCAAGCGUUGUCCGGAAUUAUUGGGCGGAAAGCGGGCGCAGGUGGUUUGGAAAAGCUGAGGUGAAAGACCACGGCUCAACCGUGGAGGGUCAUUGGAAACUAAUAAACUUGAGUGCAGGAGAGAAAAGUGGAAUUCCUAGUGUAGCGGUGAAAUGCGUAGAGAUUAGGAGGAACACCGGUGGCGAAAGCGGCGUUUUGGCCUGCAACUGACACUGAGGCGCGAAAGCGUGGGGAGCAAACAGG